rnacentral:rRNA from 1 species
UCAAGCGAAUAAGUGCAUCUGGUGGAUGCCUUGGCGAUUACAGGCGAUGAAGGACGCGCAAGCCUGCGAAAAGGUUCGGGGAGCUGGCAAUGGAGCUUUGAUCCGGACAUGUCCGAAUGGGGAAACCCACACCUUUUGGUGUAUCCAUGACUGAAUACAUAGGUCAUGUGAGGCGAACGCAGCGAACUGAAACAUCUAAGUAGCUGCAGGAAAAGAAAUCAACCGAGAUUCCCAAAGUAGUGGCGAGCGAAAUGGGAAGAGCCUGUACGUGAUAGUCGUUGUUUUAACCGAACAGUAUGGAAAGGCUGGCCAUAGCGGGUGAUAGCCCCGUAGGUGAAAAGACAAUGGUGGUACUAAGCGUACGACAAGUAGGGCGGGACACGAGAAAUCCUGUUCGAAGAUGGGGGGACCAUCCUCCAAGGCUAAAUACUCGUAAUCGACCGAUAGUGAACCAGUACCGUGAGGGAAAGGCGAAAAGAACCCCGGGAGGGGAGUGAAAUAGAACCUGAAACCGGAUGCAUACAAACAGUGGGAGCCUCGUAAGGGGUGACUGCGUACCUUUUGUAUAAUGGGUCAGCGACUUACGUUCAGUAGCGAGCUUAACCGAAUAGGGGAGGCGUAGGGAAACCGAGUCCGAAUAGGGCGAUGAGUUGCUGGGCGUAGACCCGAAACCAAGUGAUCUAUCCAUGGCCAGGAUGAAGGUGCGGUAACACGCACUGGAGGUCCGAACCCACUAGUGUUGCAAAACUAGGGGAUGAGCUGUGGAUAGGGGUGAAAGGCUAAACAAACUUGGAAAUAGCUGGUUCUCCCCGAAAACUAUUUAGGUAGUGCCUCAAGUAUCACUGACGGGGGUAAAGCACUGUUAUGGCUAGGGGGUCAUCGCGACUUACCAAACCAUGGCAAACUCUGAAUACCGUCAAGUGCGAGCUUGGGAGACAGACAUCGGGUGCUAACGUCCGGUGUCAAGAGGGAAACAACCCAGACCGCCAGCUAAGGUCCCAAAUGCAUAGUUAAGUGGAAAACGAGGUGGGAAGGCAUAGACAGCCAGGAUGUUGGCUUAGAAGCAGCCAUCAUUUAAAGAAAGCGUAAUAGCUCACUGGUCGAGUCGUCCUGCGCGGAAGAUGUAACGGGGCUCAAACUAUGAACCGAAGCUGCGGAUAUGUGUUUACACAUAUGGUAGGGGAGCGUUCCGUACGCCUGUGAAGGUGGCUUGUAAAGGCUGCUGGAGGUAUCGGAAGUGCGAAUGCUGACAUGAGUAGCGUUAAAACGGGUGAAAAGCCCGUUCACCGAAAGCCCCAGGUUUCCUACGCAACGUUAAUCGGCGUAGGGUGAGUCGGCCCCUAAGGCGAGGCUGAAAAGCGUAGUCGAUGGAAAACAGGUUAAUAUUCCUGUACCGAUUCUUGGUGCGAUGAGGGGACGGAGAAGGGUAGGUCAGCCGGGUGUUGGAAGUCCCGGUUUAAGCGUGUAGGUGUGGGGGUUAGGCAAAUCCGGCCCCCUUUAACACUGAGGCGUGAUGACGAGGUCUCAUUGAGACUGAAGUGAUUGAUCCCAUGCUUCCAGGAAAAGCCUCUAAGCUUCAGCCAAGAAUUGACCGUACCGCAAACCGACACUGGUGGGCAGGAUGAGAAUUCUAAGGUGCUUGAGAGAACUCAGGAGAAGGAACUCGGCAAAUUGACACCGUAACUUCGGGAGAAGGUGUGCCUCUGUAGCGUGAAGCGACUUGCUCGUGGAGCGUGAAGAGGUUGCAGUGAAAAGGUGGCUGCGACUGUUUAUCAAAAACACAGCACUCUGCAAAGACGAAAGUCGACGUAUAGGGUGUGACGCCUGCCCGGUGCUGGAAGGUUAAGUGAUGGGGUGCAAGCUCUUGAUCGAAGCCCCAGUAAACGGCGGCCGUAACUAUAACGGUCCUAAGGUAGCGAAAUUCCUUGUCGGGUAAGUUCCGACCCGCACGAAUGGCGUAACGAUGGCCACACUGUCUCCUCCUGAGACUCAGCGAAGUUGAAAUGUUUGUGAAGAUGCAAUCUCCCCGCUGCUAGACGGAAAGACCCCGUGAACCUUUACUGUAGCUUUACAUUGGACUUUGAACAGACUUGUGUAGGAUAGGUGGGAGGCUUUGAAGUGUGGACGCUAGUUCGCAUGGAGCCGUCCUUGAAAUACCACCCUGGUGUGUUUGAGGUUCUAACCUUGAUCCGUUAUCCGGAUCGGGGACCGUGUAUGGUAGGCAGUUUGACUGGGGCGGUCUCCUCCCAAAGUGUAACGGAGGAGCUCGAAGGUCACCUAGGUACGGUCGGACAUCGUACUGAUAGUGUAAUGGCACAAGGUGGCUUGACUGCGAGACCGACAAGUCGAGCAGGUGCGAAAGCAGGACAUAGUGAUCCGGUGGUUCUGUAUGGAAGGGCCAUCGCUCAACGGAUAAAAGGUACUCCGGGGAUAACAGGCUGAUUCCGCCCAAGAGUUCACAUCGACGGCGGAGUUUGGCACCUCGAUGUCGGCUCAUCACAUCCUGGGGCUGUAGCCGGUCCCAAGGGUAUGGCUGUUCGCCAUUUAAAGUGGUACGUGAGCUGGGUUCAAAACGUCGUGAGACAGUUUGGUCCCUAUCUGCAGUGGGCGUUGGAAAUUUGAGGGGGGCUGCUCCUAGUACGAGAGGACCGGAGUGGACGCAUCUCUGGUGUACCGGUUAUCACGCCAGUGGUAUCGCCGGGUAGCUAAAUGCGGAAGAGAUAAGCGCUGAAAGCAUCUAAGCGCGAAACUUGCCUCGAGAUGAGAUUUCCCUAGAGCCUUGAGCUCUCUAAAGGGUCGUCGAAGACCACGACGUUGAUAGGUCGGGUGUGGAAGCGCAGUAAUGCGUUAAGCUAACCGAUACUAAUUGCCCGUGCGGCUUGAUCCU